rnacentral:rRNA from 1 species
UACGUAGGGUGCAAGCGUUAUCCGGAUUUAUUGGGUUUAAAGGGUGCGUAGGCGGGAUGCCAAGUCAGCGGUAAAAAUGCGGUGCUCAACGCCGUCGAGCCGUUGAAACUGGCGUUCUUGAGUGGGCGAGAAGUAUGCGGAAUGCGUGGUGUAGCGGUGAAAUGCAUAGAUAUCACGCAGAACUCCGAUUGCGAAGGCAGCAUACCGGCGCCCUACUGACGCUGAGGCACGAAAGCGUGGGUAUCGAACAGG